rnacentral:rRNA from 1 species
GACGAACGCUGGCGGCGUGCCUAAUACAUGCAAGUAGAACGCACAGUUUAUACCGUAGCUUGCUACACCAUAAACUGUGAGUUGCGAACGGGUGAGUAACGCGUAGGUAACCUGCCUGGUAGCGGGGGAUAACUAUUGGAAACGAUAGCUAAUACCGCAUAAUAUUGAUUAUUGCAUGAUAAUUGAUUGAAAGAUGCUAUUGCAUCACUACCAGAUGGACCUGCGUUGUAUUAGCUAGUAGGUGAGGUAACGGCUCACCUAGGCGACGAUACAUAGCCGACCUGAGAGGAUGAUCGGCCACACUGGGACUGAGACACGGCCCAGACGCCUACGGGAGGCAGCAGUAGGGAAUCUUCGGCAAUGGACGAAAGUCUGACCGAGCAACGCCGCGUGAGUGAAGAAGGUUUUCGGAUCGUAAAGCUCUGUUGUAAGAGAAGAACGGGUGUGAGAGUGGAAAGUUCACACUGUGACGGUAUCUUACCAGAAAGGGACGGCUAACUACGUG